AACUGGGCUUCCCUCUUCAAGCUCUUUAACCAACUCUUUUUUUGGCAAAUGACAAUCACUUUACCGUUAAUCUUUGUAAAGACCAAUUGAAGAAUAGGGUAUGAGGUGUGACUAGAAAAUAGUAUUGUUUUCACGUGUAGUCUGAAGUACUCAUUCAUUUGAAAUUAACUCUCGCAAUGUAGUACUUAAAGUACUCUAAAUGCAAAUUUUGGCAACACAGAUAGUCACUGGGCUUCCUCUGGUGACAGAGUUGGAGAGAGCAUGGACUUGGGCCUCACUUAGAGGCUACCAUGGCUCAGAACAUUUGACGUGUUCUGGCUAAUUCCGUAAACAAGCAAGGAAGGAUUUCAAAUUAGCCUAUCUGGGCAAAAGAUGUGAUGAAUGUGACUGCCUGUUUUGCAAAAAACUGAAACCCUACAAAGAUUCUAGUACCACCCUGGAGCAGAAAUCCUAGGCCCAGAGCAGAGGGCUGUCCUCAGAACCCACAUUGUUUCUGGAGUAACAUGGGUUUUUCUCAGAAGAAAUAUCCCACCUGUGUGUGUAGGUCCUUCUACUGAAAUUGGGUCUUUCGUCAGCCUGUGUUCCCCCAAAUGCCUGGAGUAGGCCAGUGCCACUGGAUCUGAGAGGAAGGUGAGCAAGAGGAACUCGGGGUGGAAAGAGGUAACAGUCAUAGUCUCAAUCAGUUAUAGCCCCAACAACCUACAAAUGCCUGUGACAGUGCAGAUGUAUAGCUUAGGACCCCUGCCAGGGGCUUGGAAUGGCUCAUGCACGGAGGAUCCCUGAAGCUCAAGGUGCACGACCUUCAAGAGUAUCUACCUCUGCUGUUGUCUUCAGCCUCGACCUCCUCCACACUCCAGCUUCCCUGUUUCACCUACCAUGCGGCUUCGGUCUCCUGAGGCGACCCAGACUGCGGCCCUCGGCCAGCCAGCACCCUCGUCUGUCCGGGGCCCUAUGACACACAAUCCUCUUCGUCUUGCCGUGAUGCUCCAAGGUCCAACUCUGGAAGCUGUGACUUUUAUACUGCAAUGAAUUAAGUCUGUGACAGUGGAAGGACCCAGGACUUUGCAGUCAAAAGCUCAGAGUUGAAGUUUGACAGUAUUCAACAUGACAUGGGCCAUCUUGAUCAAGUCGCCUUAUCCACCACACCUUAAAAGGAGAAUGACUGUGAUAAUACUUCAGAGCUCUCAUACGCUGAUCAGUGGGAUAAUGCAUAUGACAGCUCUGCUCGUUGUCAUAUACAAUAGUGAUCAUCUUCAUUUAGUCUCAAGACAAACUAUGGGAUGAAAGAUGGUGACUCCUGCUGAGUGAAUUUCAAACAUAGGAACAGUGGAGGCCUUCUUCUGGAAUCAUAUCACAGAGUCAACUGCCCUGGCAUACCUCUGGGCCCAGGCACAUCUACCGAACUGACUGCCUUCCCGCUUAACAGGUACACUCCCAAUAACAGGUAAAAUAAGGAUUCUUGACUUACUUUAAAGACAAGGAAAGGAAGUUAAAUAUAAUGGACAGAUUACAGAAGAAAAAUUUCUGUGUUCACAUUAUUUAAUUAGGAAUUCUUGCUGUUCAGAAAGAUAAAGUAUAUUAAAAUUAUUUUUGGUAUAAUUAUCUGAAAAUAGCACUUUGUUGAGAGAUGAAUUUUCUGAAUAUGUCAAUUUUUCAUCAAAUAAGUUAUUCUCAAAGAAAAUGGCAAGAAGGUAAAGAAUUUGUCUAAUGUCAUCAUUGAUUGAUAUUGGUUCUAUUAAAAUCAGCUGUCAUCCUUUAAAACCCAUUAUUUGCUUGGGUAAAACUGUAUAAUACUUUAUCUGUUGCAUGUCACUUUUCUCCACCCAAAGAGAUCUCAGUUUCUG